GCCGAUAUGGUGGAAUUGGCAGACACGCUGGAUUUAGGAUCCAGUGGUUUUACCGUGUGGGUUCAAAUCCCACUAUCGGCA
rnacentral:tRNA from 1 species